rnacentral:rRNA from 1 species
CAAUAGCGUAUAUUAAAGUUGUUGCAGUUAAGAAGCUCGUAGUUGGAUUUGUGGCGUACGGUGGGUUCCGGGCACUUGUUGUCUGAGUAACUUGCUGUUGCCAUCCUUGGGUGGAACCUGUGUGGCAUUAGGUUGUCGUGCAGGGGAUGCCCAUCAUUUACUGUGAAAAAAUUAGAGUGUUCAAAGCAGGCUUAUGCCGUUGAAUAUACUAGCAUGGAAUAAUGAGAUAGGACUUUUUUGCUAUUUUGUUGGUUUGCGCAAAGAGGUAAUGAUUAAUAGGGACAGUUGGGGGUAUUCGUAUUCCAUUGUCAGAGGUGAAAUUCUUGGAUUUUUGGAAGACGAACUACUGCGAAAGCAUUUACCAAGGAUGUUUUCAUUAA